rnacentral:rRNA from 1 species
UACGUAGGGUGCGAGCGUUGUCCGGAAUUAUUGGGCGUAAAGGGCUCGUAGGCGGUUUGUCGCGUCGGGAGUGAAAACCCAGGGCUUAACCCUGGGCUGGCUUCCGAUACGGGCAGACUAGAGGUAUGCAGGGGAGAACGGAAUUCCUGGUGUAGCGGUGAAAUGCGCAGAUAUCAGGAGGAACACCGGUGGCGAAGGCGGUUCUCUGGGCAUUACCUGACGCUGAGGAGCGAAAGUGUGGGGAGCGAACGG